rnacentral:rRNA from 1 species
UUAUGGUGGGCACUCUAAGGAGACUGCCGGUGGACAAACCGGAGGAAGGUGGGGAUGACGUCAAGUCAUCAUGGCCCUUACGGCCUGGGCUACACACGUGCUACAAUGGUCGGUACAAAGGGUUGCCAAGCCGCGAGGUGGAGCUAAUACCCAUAAAACCGAUCGUAGUCCGGAUCGCAGUCUGCAACUCGACUGCGUGAAGUCGGAAUCGCUAGUAAUCGUGAAUCAGAAUGUCACGGUGAAUACGUUCCCGGGCCUU